GGAAGGGGGUCACCCUCCCAUACUCGCCUGAGGGGGAAUGGAUCCUCCGUAAUUAUGCCCGGCUGUGGGAAAGCAUCUCCCAGGAGGAGCCACAGAGGUCCCCUCCACCUACCCAGCUGCCAACGAUCCCUGAGGGUCGUGUCCUGGCCGUGGCAACCCUGGGGGAUCAGGCAAGCCCCUCCCAGAGUCCUGAGGUGCCCUCCACAGCCAGCAGUCUCCCCAUGAAACGAGGGAGACGGUUUUCAUGGGAGUCAACUUCUGAGUCUUCGGCGUCCGAGACUGCCCUGUCCGAGACCAAACUCCCCCAACCCGCCUCUGACCCAGCUGUGGCCUCUGCACCGCGCCCAAGGAGGAAGAGGAGGAAGAGGGGGCCUGCCGGUCCUGUGACCCUGUCUCCUCCCGUGCCAGCAGCGGAGAGCGCUGGCGUGCCCGUGCCAGCAGCGGAGAGCGCUGGCGUGCCCGAGCCAGCAGCAGUGAGCGUGCCCGAGUCAGCAGCGGUGAGCGCUGGCGUGCCCGAGCCGGCAAAGAAGAGGGCUGUAUGCAAGUCGGCAGUCGUGAGAGCGGAGGAGAGUGGCGCGGCCGACUCUGCAGCCAAGACUCUAGUACAGUGUGUCUCAUCUCGUAAGGAGAUGCCAAUUGUCUUAGCGGCUAAGGCCUUUUCUGAUUAUUUGUCUAGUCUUGUCCGUAUCCUAGAAGUCCCCGUCAGUCCUGUCUUGUCCUCAGACCCUGUCCCCAGAAAUCCCGAGUGUCCUGAUGUCGUCUCCCCGUGCCCAGUAGAUGUUGUCUCCCCGUGCCCUGUUGAUGUAGUCGCCCCUCGUCCCGUUGAUGUAGCCCCGUGUCCCGUGGAUGUUGCCCCGUGUCCCGUGAGUGUUGCCCCGUGUCCAGCUGAUAUUGCCCCGUGUCCUGUAGAUGUUGCCCCGUGUCCCGUGAGUGUUGCCCCGUGUCCAGCUGAUAUUGCCCCGUGUCCUGUAGAUGUAGCCCCGUGUCCAGUGAAUGUUGCCCCGUGUCCCGUAGAUGUCCCGUGUCCUGUUGUCUCCCCGUGUCCAG
rnacentral:lncRNA from 1 species